UUGCAGUCAUUUUGUCCCACUCGUAGACCAAGGUUCAAUCCAACAAAAUGCAGACAUCACUCAUGGUUCACAGUUCUAGGCAUGGUUACAACCUACCAUCAAGUUGGGCCAAAGGCUUCUAAGUUUAAAACUUUAUAUAGUAAUAGCAAAAGUGUCCUGGAGAUGUAAAGCCUGCAAAUAUAAAGGGGAACAAUGAUUAGAUUCUCACCGACAGAAUUGGCUAGCGCUUUGGGCUGACAACAAUCAUAUAAAAGAACCAAGUUAUGUUGAUAAAAAAUAUUUUGAAUAAUACCAGCAAUCAUAUAAACUAAUAAAUACAACUAAGGUACUCUUCACCCACAAGUUAUGAUGACGGUAAAGGACCAGGUUAUGCUGACAGUAAAGGACUGCAACGAUUUACAUGUGGAUAAAUUUGUUAACAGGCAGAAUCAAUAAUUUUAUACUAGCAGUAUAUUAUUCUUUUAAAACUAUUGUUUACUAAUAACAACAAACUAGAGAGGAAUUAACAACAAACUAGCAGUAAUCAUUGUAGAGGGCUAUGGUAAUAGGUAAUACAUGUAGGUACACAUGUAUUAGUGCAUUUGUAUUUUUUUAGAUCACCGGAGAGGAUGCACUGUUCCCACCUGAAUUUCAUUACCACAGUUUCGGCAAAAAAGCAGUAAUGGUAGUUACAUUGUUGGGUCAUGAGCCCAGAGUUACAAAACAAUAGAGGCGAGAAAGUAGAUAAAUAUUAAAGCUAAAAGGAUCACUAAAACUUCCUAACUCUCUAAUUCGUGUGUGAUACACCCCAAAUUGAAGCUUUGAGAGCAAUUGCAAGUGAAUGCUCAGAUUAUUCUGAUUGCAUCUCCCUAAGCUCGCCACAACACAACUAAACCAAGCCUAGACAAUGCUGGGCUGGCCUGGCCUACAGUAGGAAUAUAUGAUGAUCAACCAAGCACUUUGCUUCUUUCCUCCUAGCUCUAGGGGCAGCAGCAAAUGGCCUUUGUUUGGCUGGUCCUGCUUUGGUUUCAUGGGUGUUCACACGGACGUGCUCUGCCAGCCUGUUUGGUUUGGAGACUGAAGUUCCAUGAUGCUCGAUCGGAUUUUGGGUCGGGUGAUUCAGUUCCCGGACUGCUUCAUCAUCCUCAUGCCUGCCUGUAGUCUUCCAGGCGCCAAAAGGCAAGCGAAGCAGGUGCCCGCGGAUGAGCGAAACACGGCAGCAGACGAACAGCCGGCGGUCAAGCGACUGAGCAACAGCAGGAGGAGCAUGUCCAGACACAACACGAUCUGGGCACCUAUACGGAACUGGAAGCGCGGCUCAACCAGAGCAAACUGGCCGCCUCCCCCAUGACCGGCCAGCCGCUCGCAUAUCGGGAGCUGGCACUGAAUCUCGCGCUUGGCGUCGUGAUCUAAGAACUCGCCGCCGCCUUGGAUCUAAGAAGAGACGCAAGAACCCUAAAUGCCCUAGUUGAGACAGGGAGCAAGAAGAAUACCGGUGAGAAGGCGACUGCCAGAGGAGAUCGAUGACGGAGAGAGGAAUCCCGUGUUCGUGUCACUGAUGCCGCCACCGUCGCCACCGGCGCUUGCCCUUCACGCGUGCGUUGUGCUGGCUCCGUUGUGGCUCUGCCGUCGGAGUCUGAUUCCACGCCACCGAGACCGGGUCUGAUUUCCAGGCCGGAGCGACGAGGAAAGGCCGGGAUGCGGCCCACACGGGGCUUAACCGAACACCUAUUUUCUCGUGGGCCAGUAUGUUUUCCAGAGAGAGACGAUCCAUGGGGUUUUGGCCUUGAUCCCGGCGGGGAAUAUGCUAAACGAAUAAGGCCUGAAGGGGUAUGCUGAAACAGCGAUCGUUGGUUUACUACUUCAUCAGGGACGGCGGGUUGGUUUGAGAUUGCGCCGAAGCGAUACGCGCUCUCGCGCUUCGGAUCAGGAUUCAACGAUGAUCGUUGCAUGAACCCCAAAAUCGUCCUUCACACGAUCUGCGGUCCAAAUCCGAAUCCGGUGAACGAAAGGGUAUGCCACGAUCUAAUCGAGCAUGUUCGUUGGGAAUUCAACGGCACAGGGCACGUCUUCAACCCUCAGUCGAGCUGGAUGAAGGCUCACGGACACUCAACCGCGGCGGCGCAUGCCGGCGAGGUCCCCGCACGGACGAUCCUACGUGGCGCAAACGCUACUGGCCCUAAUUGGAGUCACAGCAAACUUAAGGUAGGGCUAAUUACCUCGGUUUGGGAUGGUGGCGGCACUGCCCACACGGUGGCGUGGUUCUAUGACGGAGCAGUGACCACGACGAGAAAUUCCUGGCGCCCCGAUCGCAAGUCCCACCCGAAGAUGCCCCAAACCUUUUUGGCGUGUCCAAGUGAAGCACCACGACGACCGGUGUGGGCGAAUUCGAGGAUCUAGGCGCGGCGCGUCAACAGCUCCUCCAGGCGGCGUUCAUACGCUCCGAUUCUCUCCAUCUAAUGCACACGGGGUUCAACGAGACGGAACAGGUAUGGCCAAGGUGGGUGGAGAAGGCGGAGGCGACCCCAGAAGACAUUUAUAGAGAGCAGGGAAGUCCGACCCGAG
rnacentral:lncRNA from 1 species